AAGGUACUCCCUUCGUCCGGAAAUACUUGUCAUCAAAAUGAAUAAAAGUGGAUGUAUCUAGACGUAUUUAGUUCUAGAUACAUCCCUUUUUAUCCAUUUUGAUGACAAAUAUUUUUGGACGGAGGGAGUAAUUA
rnacentral:pre_miRNA from 1 species